UACGUAGGGUCCGAGCGUUGUCCGGAAUUAUUGGGCGUAAAGAGCUCGUAGGCGGUUUGUCGCGUCUGCUGUGAAAUCCCGAGGCUCAACCUCGGGCCUGCAGUGGGUACGGGCAGACUGGAGUGCGGUAGGGGAGAAUGGAAUUCCUGGUGUAGCGGUGGAAUGCGCAGAUAUCAGGGGGAACACCGAUGGCGAAGGCAGUUCUCUGGGCCGUAACUGACGCUGAGGAGCGAAAGCGUGGGGAGCGAACAGG
rnacentral:rRNA from 1 species